rnacentral:rRNA from 1 species
GAUGAACGCUGGCGGCGUGCCUAAUACAUGCAAGUCGAGCGAACGGACGAGAAGCUUGCUUCUCUGAUGUUAGCGGCGGACGGGUGAGUAACACGUGGAUAACCUACCUAUAAGACUGGGAUAACUUCGGGAAACCGGAGCUAAUACCGGAUGAUAUUUUGAACCGCAUGGUUCAAAAGUGAAAGACGGUCUUGCUGUCACUUAUAGAUGGAUCCGCGCUGCAUUAGCUAGUUGGUAAGGUAACGGCUUACCAAGGCAACGAUGCAUAGCCGACCUGAGAGGGGGGACGGGCAAAAUGGAACUGAGACACGGUCCAGACUCCUAAGGGAGGCAGCAGGAGGGAAUCUUCCGGAAUGGGCGAAAGCCUGACGGAGCAACGGCGCGGGAGUGAUGAAGGUCUUCGGAUCGUAAAACUCUGUUAUUAGGGAAGAACAUAUGUGUAAGUAACUGUGCACAGCUUGACGGUACCUAAUCAGAAAGCCACGGCUAAAUACGUG